AAAUGACGGUACCUGACUAAGAAGCCCCGGCUAACUACGUGCCAGCAGCCGCGGUAAUACGUAGGGGGCAAGCGUUAUCCGGAUUUACUGGGUGUAAAGGGAGCGUAGACGGAUGGACAAGUCUGAUGUGAAAGGCUGGGGCUCAACCCCGGGACUGCAUUGGAAACUGCCCGUCUUGAGUGCCGGAGAGGUAAGCGGAAUUCCUAGUGUAGCGGUGAAAUGCGUAGAUAUUAGGAGGAACACCAGUGGCGAAGGCGGCUUACUGGACGGUAACUGACGUUGAGGCUCGAAAGCGUGGGGAGCAAACAGGAUUAGAUACCCUGGUAGUCCACGCGGUAAACGAUGAAUGCUAGGUGUCGGGUGACGAAGUCAUUCGGUGCCGCCGCAAACGCAUUAAGCAUUCCACCUGGGGAGUACGUUCGCAAGAAUGAAACUCAAAG
rnacentral:rRNA from 1 species